AUUGAACGCUGGCGGCAGGCCUAACACAUGCAAGUCGAGCGAGAGGCGGACGGGUGAGUAAUGUCUGGGAAACUGACUGAUGGAGGGGGAUAACUACUGGAAAAGGUAGCUAAUACCGCAUACCAUCAGAUGUGCCCAGAUGGGAGUAGCUAGUAGGUGGGGUAAUGGCUCACCUAGGCGACGAUCCCUAGCUGGUCUGAGAGGAUGACCAGCCCCACUGGAACUGUGACACGGUCCAGACUCCGACUGGAGGCAGCAGUGGGGAAUAUUGCACAAUGGGCGCAAGCCUGAUGCAGCCAUGCCGCGUGUAUGAAUAAGGCCUUCGGGUUGUAAAGUACUUUCAGCGAGGAGGCGUUACUCGCAGAAGAAGCACCGGCUAACUCCGUGCCAGCAGCCGCGGUAAUUC
rnacentral:rRNA from 1 species